rnacentral:rRNA from 1 species
CCCUUAGAUGUUCGGGGCCGCACGCGCGCUACACUGAAGGAAUCAGCACGUCUUUCUCCUUGUCCGAAAGGACUGGGUAACCCGCUGAACCUCCUUCGUGCUAGGGAUUGGGGCUUGUAAUUCUUCCCAUGAACGAGGAAUUCCCAGUAAGCGCGAGUCAUAAGCUCGCGUUGAUUACGUCCCUGCCCUUUGUACACACCGCCCGUCGCUACUACCGAUUGGAUGGUUUAGUGAGAUCCUCGGAUUGGUCCCGGAGCGGCCUCUGGUCGUGCCGGAGUGCCGAAAAGAAUGUCGAACUUGAUCAUCUAGAGGAAGUAAAAGUCGUAACA